CAACGAACGUGACAGGAACGGUGCGGUAUUUACCAAUGCGGUAAAUAGCUAAACCAGAGACUGAGGCUAGUCAUUCUCGAUUCGUGUCUGCAGUAACGACCAACAAACGUGACAGCAGGAACGGUGCGGUAUUUACCGAUGCGGUAAAUAGCUAAACCAGAGACUGAGGCUCGUCAAUCUCGAUUCGUCUUCGUCUCUGCAGUAAUGACCAACGAACGU